rnacentral:miRNA from 1 species
GGGCCUUGUGUGUGUGUGUGUGUGUGUGUGUGUGUGUGUGUGUGUGUGUGCGCGCACGCGUGCAUGUGUGUGCGCACACGUAC